rnacentral:lncRNA from 1 species
GGAGAUUGUAAUGUUGCACAUCCGAGAUGUUCUGUGAUCAAUGAGUCCUUUUUUAGCUCUGCAAGUUUGACUCACCAACAGUGUAGCCGUGUGUGUUAGCGACACAUUGUCUCGUCGCGGAAUAGGGCCCGGGUACCCCAAGAGCGCGUCGCUUGCUGAACGAUCGUUAAACCUUUUGCUCAGUUGCAACCUACUUCGACUUACCACGAGCAUUGGUUUCUAACUUGAAUACAUGAACGUCCAGUUCCCACACCGUAAUCCGUCUGCGUCUUCCCAGCCAGCAGCACUACAUGCGCUAGUCUCAUGUUCCAACGUGUGUCAUGAUUCUGUCCGCUACCGCGCUCUUGCUAUAUUUUGUGCAGCCGGUCAAUUUACUUUUGACGCUGAUACCGAGCAACCACUUCUGAAAAUUCUGCCCAUCCGGGGGGAAGGAACACCGUCUGGCCACAUCAAGUGCCCUGAAGAACAUACACCUGGAGACGAAUACGCAGACAGCAGGGGGCCCGCCCAAACGCUUAGCACCUUUCGAACUCCCUGACUCACCGCCUUCUUCAUGGUGCGGCAGCCAGUCCCUCUCAUUACUCGUGAGUAAACUGUCGUCCUCCUGACAACGCUGAAGGAAUCAGCGGCACCGGAAGUCCAGUGGCGCAAGAAAGCAGCUGACUGUACAAAGCCACAUUUUAUUUCAUUUGCUGGAAGUUGCACUUCCCCCCACAGCGGGCUGGACGCCAGCCUGUUGCUGCAGAGGAUCCGGAAUAAACAAUCGAAAAGAACUCCUGCCGGCUCUCCAGCAUCCAACAUCUUGUUCCGACUUACGCGUCCCUCCUGAUCGCUCUGUUGAGGUGCUGAGCCACCAUGAUGCGUACCUUCGUCGGGAGGCAUGGCUUCGGUACCCCCAACAGGCACCUGCUGUAGAAGCCUUCUAGGUUUUGGAUUCUCCUGAUGGCUAUGCCCCCCGUCCACCGGCAGCGUCGAUACUUCCCGUCUGGUGUCGAUGGAGUCCAGUGACUUUGGAUUCCCCUCCGCAAAGUCCCCGCCGCCGGAGUGUAUCUCCAAACCUCCAGGGAGGGGUGGCAGAUGAAGCGCCCCUGUACCAAACUGGUACCUUCGUCCUGAAGGGUAUCGGCGAAGACCAAGUGCGACGGCAAUCCUUGGAGGACGACUUGCAGGGAAAGGUUGAGCGCCGGGUGAUUCGACGCCUUCCUUGGUUGCUGGAACUUCUCCGGGUAACUCUUGCUGCGGCAAGGUGCCACCUUCCUUUGAGGGCAAGGCAUCAGCCUCGUCUCUCUGAGCUUCUUUUGCGGGCUCCCGUGGCUCGCUUCGGCGAGGCGCAGUGUCAUCUAUUGUCGGUGGAUAUGGAACAGUAGGUGGAACUGCCGUGCCAGGCGGCACUAAAAGGUACUUCACCCACUUCCCCCCCGGCGUCUCCACUGGCGCAGCGGUCGUCGUGGUCGAACUAGUUGUAGAUGAAGCAACUGUUUCCUUUUCGGAUUCCGCUACUGCCACAGGACGCGUGCCGCCUCUACGGAGAUUCCGAUUACCUUUUUGCGGUACUGGCUGCGGCAACGUGAAGCCUUCUUCCUUGUGCGUGGAAUCCUCCUUCUCCGUUUUCUGUAUGUCUGCUUCGGGCGCAGCUUCCUGCUUGGCGGUAUCUGGCGCUUCUCUACUCUUUACAACGCCGCCAGUAUGACGUCCAUGCCGAGGCCCCCGCUCCGUCUGCAAGGCGCUACGCACUGGUUGAUCAUCGUCUGUUUCCUGUUCUCUGCUAAGAGAGGGGGGCUCGCAGUAUAACCAGUCCUGCCCCACAAAUCCAAAAACAGUGCCGCCAACCUCGAAAUUACAGCGAGUUGCCUAAC